CUCUCUCUGAUGAUUCUUUCGGUCUCGCACUUCUCUCUCUUUCAAUCUUCACGUCUUCAAUUCGAUUCUUCUAAGUAAUAUCACAUACUUUACUUCUUGAACGAAGGUAGAUGAUAAGAUUCUCAAUAGAUCUGCUUUAGCCUCCGGAUUGACCGGCUUCAAAUUGGGGCAUCUUGGAAUUGGGGGUUUUGAUUUUGACUUUAAUUGAUUCUGUUUUGAUGAUUAAGCUUAACUAAUUGAACUCUCUCUUUACUUUCAGCGUAUUGAAUCUUGAAGUUUAAUAGAUUUGUGCUUUGAUUUGAUUUUCGGAACAUUGGAACUUUGGGUCGUUGGAUCUGAGAAGAACAGAGAGAGAUGUGAGAAAGCAUCGAAGAUGAGAUACCUAUGCAGUUGAGGAAGUAAAGAACAAGGUUAUUUUCAAAGAAACAGCCAGGCCAUCAGGGCUAUGGCGCCAAAAAAGACAAAGGCAAAAAGAAAAUGGCUAUUUCUCAAGGGAUGAUGAUGGUGAUUGCGAUGAGGAAGAUUGAAAUGAAGCUACCUAGCUAGAUGCAUUAUUGGUAGGGAUGCUGAUUUUGUUAAAACAUUGCUUUUGUCUUUUGAUUGUUCAGCUGUAACGUAUAUGAUUGUUGGCUUUUGCUAGCUUUUGGCUGAUUGUUUAGCUGUAACAUUUAUGUCGUACAUAAUUUUAUAACUGUCCUUUUGUAAAUAUAUGAAUGCUUGUUGGCUUUUAAAUUAUGUUGUACUGAAUUUUAAUGGAUAUGAUUCUUGA